AUGUGCCAAGGAAAGGCGCUGCUCUCACCAGCCUGGGUCCAGGGCUCUGGGCCACCAUUGACGUGUCGGUGCACACCAACGGCGUCCCCGGGGAGCUUACCUGGCACUGCCAGAGCAGAGCAGCUCUGCUGCAAAUCCAUGCUAACUCGGAAAGCUCUUGAUGACCCAGAGCAGUUGGCUCUGCUGUCCUCUACCUUGCACUGUCCAGAGGACUUGGGAUGGCAAGCUACUUGGGAAGUCAAACAAUCAGAAGGAUGCUUGGGGAACAGGCAGUCAGAACAGGAGCAUGGAGUUUGAUGAUUCCAACGUCCAGCCACACGGUAAGAUACACCUGUCAGGCAGGGCAGGCGCUGGGCUCGGGAGCAGAGAACCUGCUCCCAGGGUUGGUACUUAGGUGGGCUUUGCAGCAGUUUUCCCACAUAACUGUCCUUUCUGGCGUUUCCAUUUUAGGCCUGCAUCUUAUCAUGCUAAAGGGCCUUCCCCUCGCCCUGAGAUGUGUUUGACUAGCCUGCUUUUAAUUCAUGCUGGAUGUGAAGGCGGUCCAUCUCAUUGAUGGAGUUUUGUUUUGUUUAGCUCUGAUCAUGCUGUGUUGAUUGUGUACCUUAAUUCUCAGAGACAAAACCGAUUUCCAGGUUCUUAAAGAGCACUCCUGCAUGGCCUCCAGGGUGCCACGCCACCCCCUGCAGCUGCACGAGCUCCUUCUCAUUCUUUAUUCCUUUAUGUGCUCCCUGUGAUUAACCUGGCUGCUACUCCUGUGUCCAUGGCUUGGGUCUGCCUCAGCCACCUCCGGCCCCCAACAUCCCCACAUCUUUCUCAUCAGAGGGUGGUGGCACCUUUUGCUGCUCAUGGUCCAGCAUUGUCACAAGGAUCAGAUGGCAAACAAAGCACAGCGCUGUGAAGUCUGUGCAGAGAGAAGGGAUUCUAAUUUCUUUUCUUAAAAAAAAAAUGGCUGUUGGGCUUGAUUUUCUUCAUUUCAGAUUGUCUGGUGGGACCCAAGAGAAAGGUGGAAAAUCACUUUAAAACAACUUCGACUGCAAACCCGUUUCCAUGAAGUUCCUCUAGACUUUUGUUAUGUUAGUAAAUCUCCCCACAUAAUCUCAUUUGGCAUAAUCUCAUCUUUCACUUUGGUACAAGUGCUUUAAGAUUUGAUCACAGAUCUCUUUUUCACAGAUAUCCUAUUCACUAGCACCCUAAUGUACACAAAUGCUGUUUGGUUAAGAGGUACUAGCCACAAAAUAAAAAAUAUAUCUAAGAAUUAUCUGAUAUGACUUUGCAAAUGCCUAUCAACCAGCAAAGCGUUGCAAUCAACCAGCAAUACACAGUUGUUUAGUAAUGCAGAUCAUUGCCAGCUUCACUCUUGUUAAUUCGUGGCUCAGGUCCUUAGACUUUGACUUCAUCUCCUGUUUUGGGAAGCUUUGCUGAACUUUAACCCGGGCUCUGUAUCCACCAGUGCAUUGCCUUGAAGCCUGUUUUGGUUUACCCAGCCCUCAAUGGGCGUCCACCUGCUUACCGCUCCUCGGAAUACCAGCCUUCACAGAAACUGCACCAGGAGAUAAUUAGUCACGCUAACAACCUCGGAAAGCACUGACGAGGCUGUUCAGACCCCUCAUUGGAAACCGGAACAGGAGCUGUUGCUCUAUAAUUAGUGUAUCACGCAUAACUCCAAGCUGCUCACCUUCUGAUACCUGGCUGCCCUCACCUUGUCUGCAUCCCAACGCACAAUGGAAGUGAGCGCCUGGCCUGCCAUGGGUGUACAGGGUGUGUGGUGCAAUAUUUUGUGAGCAUCAUGUACCUGCAACUCUCAUUAAUUAAAAAGACAGCUGGUACCCUAAAAAAAAGAGGCACAGUUCAUUUAAUGACAGGUAUUUUAAAUGUGUAUGCUAAUUUCAGGUUUUUCCUUUCAUCCCUCGGAAACACAGACGCGGAAGGAGGCUGCUGGAAGGAAGUGUGUGAGAUGAGCUUAUUUGUGAGUGAGCAGGAGGGAAGGGGUGGUGAACUUUCCUCCCAGGACGAGACGUGUACCUGCACUUCUCAGCCAUGAGUGUCGGGAACCAGUCCUGGAGAAGCAAGACAAAUCGCUUCCCUGUGAAGGUGCAUACCCUUUUCCUUUAGGAACAGUUGCGUCCUAUUCUCUGCUAUAGAAAACCAUCAAAGUCUUUUUUGACAUCUCUGACAUGAAAUAGUGAAGACAGUGCAGAAAGAUGCUGCCUGGUCCCUAAUGACCUUGUGUGGAGAGGGGAACAGAAACAGCUCAUUAGAGUGAUUUAAUGUGGUAUUUUGUUAAAACUAAAUCAAAAUAAUCUAUGGAAUGUGGCU
ensembl:lncRNA